rnacentral:lncRNA from 1 species
GCAUGGCUUUUACUGCCAAGUCAUAUCGAUGCAACUCCGUACCGCCUACUGAGAAUUGCCUAUCUACCGUUAAGAGGUGGUAUUAUGACCCCAGUAAUCGCACAUGCGUCCUCCGCAAUGUUGGAAGAUGUAAGCCUCAACCGGCCUUUCUAUUAUGUCGCCGAUGUGUGAUGACGUGCAUGGGUAUCAAAUCGAAGGAUACGGCAGUAAUCAACCAUUUAUGCGCAUUAUCCGCUGAAAGGCUGCAGCAAGAUGGCAUCUAAACAAGACGAUAAAUUGCGUGUUGUAUAAUGCGCAAUUUGGUUGAAGGGAAACUUGGCUUUUGAUAUAAUAAACAGUACUUGUGAUAUGAC